CCUUCUUGUGUGUGCACCUUACUGUCAGUACACCAGGCGAAAGGGCAGUCGCUUUUAAAUUACGCUGCGCCAAUAUGGACACCAGCCACUAGUAGGUCAAGACUAUAGUCCUACCAGAACGAUAAAUUACGAACAAUUUGUGGCAUGCCUCCUCGGGACAGGGAAACCAGAAAUCAGCGGCGGUAUAUCAAAUGUGUGUCUUACAUGUGGAGAGGGACUCGCGAUAUAAAAGACAUUUUCACAUGGUUCUAGAACUACAGUCAGAUGAGCCAUUGAAAACUUCGCCGACCUCUUACAGGGUUGGAAUAACGCAGACGCAAAACAACAGCAUGCGUGACGUUUUACGUUCAAUCCCAAUUGACUCGUGGAAACCCUACUGACGACCAUCAGUGUGUUAACUUCCAAACACGAAAUGUCAUUUUUGGCACACACUGCAGCGAUAAUAAACAAAGCCGCAGUUAUAAUUAGCUUGCCAUUUGCCGGCAUCACUUGAAAUACGUACAUAUGUACACGAAGCUUCCUGCCAUGCAAAAAUGCUGUUUUUCAUAGCCUCAUUUACAUUAGUCAGAUACUUUUAUUGAAACCAAUUAGCGUAUUGGCAAAAGUCACAAUAUAACUGUGGCAUAGGCCAUGUUGGCUCCUAAAAUUCAAAUCCAAGUUUAUUUUAGUAAGUGAAUAAUAUAAUAAUGUACGUAUAAAUUUCAUAUUCGUUUAUUCGGAACUACACUGCAAUUAUACACGCAUUUUUAAUAUUGCAGUUAUUGCAUAUUCACAUUAUUAAAUUAAGUGUAAUU